UUGUGUAACCUUUUUAUUAAAUAAUGCAGAAGAGGAAGAGAAUGCUCGGAGGAGAUGGUUCGGGGGGGCGUUGUAGUGCUAGGUUCUGCACAAAGCCUCGGAAAUUAAUUAUGAUUUCUCAAAGAAAAGUCAGUGAUCUCAUUACAUCAACAAAGAAAAUUAAACUUGCUGCAAUUCAUUUAAGGAGUUAUCCUGAAUUUAGGAGGGAUUUGAGUGCUGCGUGUGAAAUCUUAGAGGGUGAGGCUCGCAUACGCAGCAUCCAAGAAAAGAUUCGAGUUGCUCUAUAUGUUCAGAAGGCUGCUUUGACAUUUAUUGGCGCUGCAAAUAAUACUGAAUAUCAUCUUUCUGAGGAUGCCAGAAAAGCUGGAUUUUAUAUUAGCUCUGAUGAAUUGGCAGUCAUCAAGAUUUAAUGCUCUUGGAAUAAUGUCGGGAGGUCGCAAUUGUAGGUUGUGCACUAAUAACUGGUUUAGGGGCUCUCAUUUUCAAUUUGCUGUAAGAAAAUUGCUAACAUCAUGCUGCCACUCUACUAUUGAGGCGAAACAGAAAAACGAAAAUAAAUCUUUGAUCCAAUUUAUGAGGAAUAAGGAAAUCAUUCCUGAUUCAAAACCUCCGGACAUGAAAGAUUUAAAUUUUCUAUAUCAAUUUUUUUGAUCGGAGUCAAAAGCUCAUGGUAUUAACUGAAGCAGGAUUAAGCACUGAAUCUGGAAUUCCUGAUUACAGGAGUUUGUCCGCUCCAGUCAUGCUCAUAGGCGAUACUGGGCAAGGAGUUAUGCUCGAUGGAGAAGGUUUAUUGCUGCACGACCUAGUGAAGGUCAUAUUGCACUAGCCACAUUGGAAAAAGUCAGUUGAGUCAAUUUCAUGGUCACCCAAAAUGUUGAUAGGUUGCAUCAUCACGCUGGCAGUGAACCUCAUGAGCUCCAUGGUACUGUUUGUACUGUACUGUGUUUAAAUUGCGGCACUUCUGUUGGCCGAAAUUAUUUUCAAGAUCAAGUAAAGGCCCUCAACCUAAAGAUGAGUUCAUAGCAUCAAAUCCUCAUGCAAAAAUCUUUGUGAUUCAUUGUGAGAUAAAUUUGAGCAUGCCUCGAUUUGAGCAACUCCUCUCGUGAAGGCACACUGGAGCACGGAUCGGAUGUCGACUAGCUUGGAGCAAACAAAGAGGGUGCGUCCGCAAUCGUCACGGUGGAGUCAAAGGCUCAUGGUAUUAACUGGAGCAGGACUAAGCACUGAAUCUGAAAUUCCCGACUACAGAGGGAGUUUGUUCGCUCCAGUCAUGCUCGCAGGCGAUGCUGGGCAAGGAGUUAUGCUGGAUGGAGAAGGUUUAUUGCUGCACAAACUAGUGAAGGUCAUAUUGCACUAGCCACAUUGGAAAACGUCAGUUGAGUCAUUUUCAUGGUCACCCAAAAUGUUGACAGGUUGCAUCAUCGCGCUGGCAGUGAACCUCUUGAGCUCCACGGUACUGUUUGUACUGUAUUGUGUUUAAAUUGCGGCACUUCUGUUGAUCAAAAUUAUUUUCAAUAUCAAGUAAAGGCCCUCAACCGAAAGAUGCGUCCGCAGCAUCGAAUCCUCAUGCAAAAAUCUUUGCGAUU